rnacentral:rRNA from 1 species
GAUCACUGGCUCAGGAUGAACGCUAGCUACAGGCUUAACACAUGCAAGUCGAGGGGCAGCAUGGUCUUAGCUUGCUAAGGCUGAUGGCGACCGGCGCACGGGUGAGUAACACGUAUCCAACCUGCCGUCUACUCUUGGCCAGCCUUCUGAAAGGAAGAUUAAUCCAGGAUGGGAUCAUGAGUUCACAUGUCCGCAUGAUUAAAGGUAUUUUCCGGUAGACGAUGGGGA